GACGAACGCUGGCGGCGUGCUUAACACAUGCAAGUCGAACGGAAAGGCUCCAGCUUGCUGGAGUACUCGAGUGGCGAACGGGUGAGUAACACGUGGGUAAUCUGCCCUGCACUCUGGGAUAAGCCUGGGAAACUGGGUCUAAUACUGGAUAUGACCUUUCUCCUUAUGGGGUUUGGUGGAAGGUUUUUCGGUGUAGGAUGAGCCCGCGGCCUAUCAGCUUGUUGGUGGGGUGAUGGCCUACCAAGGCGACGACGGGUAGCCGGCCUGAGAGGGUGAUCGGCCACAUUGGGACUGAGAUACGGCCCAGACUCCUACGGGAGGCAGCAGUGGGGAAUAUUGCACAAUGGGCGGAAGCCUGAUGCAGCGACGCCGCGUGAGGGAUGACGGCCUUCGGGUUGUAAACCUCUUUCAGCAGGGACGAAGCGUAAGUGACGGUACCUGCAGAAGAAGCACCGGCUAACUAUGUG
rnacentral:rRNA from 1 species